GACGAACGCUGGCGGCGUGCUUAACACAUGCAAGUCGAACGGUGACGGAGAGCUUGCUCUCCUGAUCAGUGGCGAACGGGUGAGUAACACGUGGGCAACCUGCCCCAGACUUCGGGAUAACGCUUCGAAAGAGGUGCUAAUACCGGAUACGAGCUCCUUGGGCAUCCUUGGAGUUGGAAAGUUCUUCGGUCUGGGAUGGGCCCGCGGCCUAUCAGCUUGUUGGUGAGGUAACGGCUCACCAAGGCGACGACGGGUAGCCGGCCUGAGAGGGCGACCGGCCACACUGGGACUGAGACACGGCCCAGACUCCUACGGGAGGCAGCAGUGGGGAAUAUUGCUCAAUGGGGGAAACCCUGAAGCAGCAACGCCGCGUGAAGGAUGAAGGGCUUUUGCUUGUAAACUUCUGUAGUGAGGGAAAAAACUUCCACUCUGUGGAAUGUGAUGGUACCUCAAAAGUAAGCCCCGGCUAACUACGUGCCAGCAGCCGCCGUAAGAC
rnacentral:rRNA from 1 species